GCCUGGGUGGCGGAAUUGGUAGACGCGCUAGACUCAAAAUCUUGUGAGGGUGACCUCGUGUGGGUUCGAGCCCCACCCCAGGUA
rfam:Flammeovirga sp. MY04 chromosome 1, complete sequence.